GAUCCUGGCUCAGGACGAACGCUGGCGGCGUGCUUAACACAUGCAAGUCGAACGAGAAUCUGCUGAAAGAGUCUUCGGACAAUGGAUGUAGAGGAAAGUGGCGGACGGGUGAGUAACGCGUGAGUAACCUGCCUUGAAGAGGGGGACAACAGUUUGAAACGACUGCUAAUACCGCAUGAUGCAUAAGGGUCGCAUGAUUCUUAUGCCAAAGAUUUAUCG
rnacentral:rRNA from 1 species